GGCUUCGGUAACCCAGCGGGCAUUUGCCCCGGGGUGUCAACUACAAGGCCAGUAUCUCCAAACCGAUCUUCGAGCCGGAAUAUAUAGUACCGAAAUUACUGGGAGUUCAGCGCUGGACUGCUGCAAUCACACAAGUACCUUACUUCAGCUUGUUUCAUCCAUUACAAGAAAAAAAGUUGUUGCAGAAGGAACAAGACCAAAUUGAUUUGCAACAAUCAGUGGCUGAACUGAAAGAAAACAAUAAAGUGCUGGAAGAUCACAUUACUUUUCUCAGUGAGAAAGUGCAUGAAAAAACUGAAGAGGCUAAGAGGCUCCGUCAGGACUAUCGAGACCUAUGGGAGGACGUUGCAAAGCAAACUAGAUACUGUGAAGAGACAGUCACAGACUUAAAAGCAAAGCUACGGAUUACAAAGGCUGAAGUGGCUUCACUACACCAGUAUUGGAGUUCUUCAUAGAUCUUCUUAGAGGAGUGCCUGGAAGGGUCAAAGACAUAAAAGUUGAAGCUGACCUAAAUUUUCACAAGAUGUGGGCGUCACUGUGGCCAGCAUUUAUUGCAUGCCCCUAAUUGCCCUUGAAGGUGCUGGUGACCUGCCUUCUUGAACUGCUGCAGUCCAUAAGCUCUUAGUUGACUAAUAAUAUCCUUAGGGAGGGAAUUCCAAGAUUUUUAUCCAGUAACAUUAAAGGACUGGUGAUAUAUUUCCAUGUCACUGUGUAUCUUGAAGGAAAAGUAGCAGCUGAUAGUAUUUCCAUCUGCUGCCCUGGAACAGGUUUGGAAGGUGCUGCCCGAGGAUUUUUGAGUUUUUGUAAUACAUCUUGCAGAUAAUGCACACUUGGAUGGUUGUGGGUGUGAUGCCAAUCAAGUGGGCUGCCUUGUCCUCGAUGGUGUCAAGCUUCUUGUGAGUUGUUGACCUGCACCCAUCCAGUAAAAUGUGGUGUAUCAAUCGCAAUCCUGACUUGUGACUUACAGAUGACCAAUUAGUUUUUGGAGAGUAGGAAGUAAAGUUACUUGCCACAAUAUUCCUCUGGCCUGCUCUAGUUGUAGCCACAGUAUUUUUGUGGCAAGUCCAGUUGAGCUUCUGGUUAAUAGCAAACCUUACGACGUUGAUAGAGGGGGAUUCAAUGAUGGUAACAUCGUUGAAUGUCAAGGUCCGGUGGUCAGAUUAUCUCUUAUUGACUAGAUUCCAAGAUUGAAGUUUAGAUUAGAUUCCCUACAGUGUGGAAACAGGCCCUUCGGCCCAACAAGUCCGCAUCCCACCCAGACCCAUCCCCCGAAAACCCACACAUCUCUGAACACUACGAGCAAUUUAGCAUGGCCAAUCCACCUAACCUCACAUCUUUGAACUGUGGGAGGAAACCGGAGCGCCCGGAGGAAACCCACGCAGACACGGGGAGAAUGUGCAAACUCCACACAGACAGUCACCCAAAGCGGGAAUGGAACCCGGGCCCCUGGCGCUGUGAGGCUGCAGUGCUAACCACUGAGCUAU